rnacentral:rRNA from 1 species
CCUACGGGAGGCAGCAGUGAGGGAUAUUGCGCAAUGGGCGAAAGCCUGACGCAGCGACGCCGCGUGGGCGAGGAAGGCCUUCGGGUUGUAAAGCCCUUUUGGCAGGGAAGAGCAAGGACUGUACCUGCAGAACAAGUCACGGCUAACUACGUGCCAGCAGCCGCGGUAAUACGGAGGGUGCGAGCGUUGUUCGGAAUUAUUGGGCGUAAAGCGCGUGUAGGCGGUUUGUUAAGUCUGAUGUGAAAGCCCCGGGCUAAACCGGGGAAGGGCAUUGGAUACUGGCAGACUGGAGUACGGGAGAGGAGAGUGAAAUUCCCAGUGUAGGAGUGAAAUCCGGAGAUAUUGGGAGGACCACCGAGGGCGAAGGCGGCCCCCGGGGUUGGCACUGAC